rnacentral:rRNA from 1 species
GACGAACGCUGGCGGCGUGCUUAACACAUGCAAGUCGAACGGAAAGGCCCUGCUUUUGUGGGGUGCUCGAGUGGCGAACGGGUGAGUAACACGUGAGUAACCUGCCCUUGACUUUGGGAUAACUUCAGGAAACUGGGGCUAAUACCGGAUAGGAGCUCCUGCUGCAUGGUGGGGGUUGGAAAGUUUAGGCGGUUGGGGCUGGACUGUGGGCUUAUGAGCUUGUUGGUGGGGUAGUGGCUUACCAAGGGUUUGACGGGUGGCCGGCGUGAGAGGGUGGCCGGGCACCUUGGGACUGAGAUACGGACCAGACUCCUACGGGAGGCAGCAGUGGGGAAUCUGGCACAAUGGGCGGAAGCCUGAUGCAGCAACGUCGCGUGCGGGAUGACGGCCUUCGGGUUGUAAACCGCUUUCGCCUGUGACGAAGCGUGAGUGACGGUAAUGGGUAAAGAAGCACCGGCUAACUACGUG